rnacentral:lncRNA from 1 species
CUACUAACAGUGAAUCCGUGCUGCUGUUCGUGUAGCCAACAUAAUCUGUCAUCAGAUUGGUCAUUUAAGGUUGUUGACUCUAAACAAGACACUAGCUCCGCGAGAGAAGCCUGUUCAGCAGAUUCCAAUUGUCUAGUCCACGAAACUUUCCAUUCCCAGACACUGUGAGACCAGUUAACCAUGUCAAUUAUUUUACCUUCCUUUUCUGUUGCGGUUUGAAACAAACGGCAAAAUCUCAACUUUAGCGGUAUAUCCCCAAUUCAAGUAUCAGAAGAUAGAGUGAAGAAAGAAUGAAUACAAUAAUUAGAAGCAUAAGAUAUUUUCUUUAGCCAAAUUGAUAGAAAUAAAAAAUGCUUAAUAGACAAAGGGUGUGUUUGGAAAAGGUAGUGUCUUAUUUGAGUUUACCUACUAUCAUAAACUCUUGUGAGACUGUUUAGAAGAACUUAUGGGAACAGCUUAUGACAUGUCCAUAAGCUCUCUAGAAUAGCUUAUUAAAACAGCUUAUAGUUUAUAUGGAAGUAGUUUGACUUUAUUUCAUCUUUUGUUAUAGAAAAGCAUAUGAUAAGCAUUUAUGCUAUUAAUUCUUAAUCAAACAAUUUAUCUAAACAAAGCCA